ensembl:lincRNA
GCAUCUCUCCAUGUCCGACCCCGGAGCCCAGUUCUCGGUCUGCAAUUUCUACACCACAACCUUUGCAAUCACCACCACCACCACCCCUAGGUCCCAUGUCAGCAGGUGCCAGGUUGCUACAAAGGUGACAGGGCACAUUGGGAAGAAGGCUUGUUGAUUGCAGAAGAUACUUAUGCCCCGUGUUUCCAGUGCUAUGAAGUGCAAUGAGCUGGCCUGAGACUGUCAGAUGGAUUCUCCAGGGAAAGUGUUUUCCAGGAGCUUGCCAUGAACUGGAUUUAAGGAGACAUUUAGAGAAAGCUGCAAAUGAUCAAAACACAGAGAGUAACUGACUAUGGGUGCCUAGCCCUAACUGAUACAUCCACAAUAUGACCUUACACCCAAGACUCAAGAAACAUGGAGGAUGUUCAGAAAGAUUACAAGAGCCAGAAGCCUAGCAAAGACAACUUAGACGUGUGUGACCUGCAUCACCUAAGGAACAGGACAAAGUAUCGAGAGCAGCCUCCGACUUGGGAAAAUUGGACCAGAACAAUGGCUCUUCCAGUGCCUGUUCUUUCACUCCUGUUUUGUGUUGUGGAGAAGAAAUCUCCUUUAUGCAUAGAGAACUUUUCCUUGGUAACAGACCUGGAGCAUCCUGUGCAGAUUCCGUCCAGGGCCUGUCUUGUGAUAAUCGAGUCAGAAGCUUCCUGGGGACUUCCUUUCCUGCAAUCACAGCUCCUCUCCUACACACAGCAAGUUUCUAGUGCUGUUCUUGCCAUUAGCCCUACUGUGUGCAAAGUGCAUCCACACAGAAAUCUGCUGCAUAUCUGAAAUUGCCUCUGCUUCGUCCUUAAGAAGCCUAAACUUGUAUGAUCCUUGCUGACUGUGCAGUCUCACACAGAAUUCAGUUGCCUGUGGUGGGAAGACAGCAAGGACUAUACCUUCUCUAUCAGGGCAUCAGCAUUUCUAACACAUCUUUUGUCCCAUGCUUUAUCAACCUAUGCACCUCUCAGAACCUCAUGAUGACUUGAUUCUCAAAAGCAUGUCCUAUGUUGCUUACAGAACUUUCUGUGCAUGUUAGGAGAGAUCCUAUUUUACUAACUUGUGUAUUUAAAAGACAUGUUUCCACUCCCAUGAAGGUAUCAAAACAUAUUUUCAGACAACAAAAAAUGACAUAUAUUUUACUUCGAGAUGGGCCACAAUCAAUUCAUUGGAGAAUAUUGACUAAACAUGGUAGUUUAUACCACCAGGAAUAAGUGUAAACACAUAAGGAAAUUACAACUGUAUUGUGGCAAUUGUAAGUUCUGUCCUCUUUGCUUGAGAUUGAGGAUAUGAAAUAUUAAUUUAAAUAUAAGAAAAUAACAUACAUUCUAAUCACAGUGGAACUAUACACAAGAAUGCUAAAAUUUUGGGUGUAUAUAACUAAGCAAAAAUUCAAUGACCUAAUUAUAUGUUUGCUCAAGAAGAGCCUGUUACUAACUUGAAAUGAGGAACUAGUAUUUUGCUUUUAUAUUUUGAUAAUGAAGGUAGUGUUGGAUUGGAAAUGAAAACAUAAUAAAAUCCAGUUGUCACUCACAUGAAAUGAAACAUUCUAUACCCACAUUUUUUAUUUUGUUCUUCAUUAGUGGCUAUAGAUUUGCAGAAAAGCAUUACAGUUCCCCAACUUCCCAUGAUAAAUAAGAAACAAUAAAAUGCAAGCAUCACACCUUGAUAUCAGUAACUCCAGGUCUGACUUCUCCCAGUAGAAGCAGUUUAGUGCCAGAAAGUCUAUACCUCCUCUUCCUCCUCCUCCUGCUCUUCCUCCUCCUCCUCACCCUCUUCCCCCUCUCCUUUUCUUCUUCUUUUUUCUACUCCUUUUCUUCUCCUCCUCUUCUUCUUUUUCUCCUUCUCUUCUUCCUCCUCCUCCUUCUUCUCCUCUACUUCUUUGUAUCUUGCUGUAGUCAUUUAAUGUGUUUCCCUAAAAGAAUAUUUCCUGCUGUAUAUAUCUUACUGAUUUCUGAUUUCUUUAUAAUUUCUAGCAUUACUUAUUUAAUGUAGAAAGUCCUGGGUUUAUAAACGUUAUUCAAGAAGUAUAGAAAAAGAUUAUGGUAAAUAGUUAACACAAAAGUUCAUGGGAAUGGGGAGAAAAGUUCAUGGGUAUGGGGAGAAGUGCUUGCCUUGCAACUAUGAAGACCAGAGUUAAAACUCAGAAGGAAUAUUUUUAAAAAAUAUUAAGUAUGGUCAUACAUGAUCAUAAUCUUAUCUAUGGGAUUCAGAGACAAGCAGAUAUCUAGGUUCAACAGGUAGUCAGCCUAAGCUGCUUGGCCAUAUCCAGGCCAUUGUAAAACUUGUCUCAAAAAUGAAAUUGGACUGUGCCUAACAAUAGCUGACAUUGUCCCCUGACCUCCACAUUCAUAUCCAGAUAUGUCCCUGCAUGUCUGCACAUACAUACACACAUAAAAAUGUCCUAAAUUGUAUACAUUCUUUUUUGUUACUUUCUUCAGUGAACAUUAAUUCAUUUUAGUUUUACUUUCAUGUUAGUAGUAUACACUGUGUGCUAUAUACAUAUGUAUAUAGGUAAAAUUAUAAAAUAUAUAAACACACCCUUUUCUCAAAAUAAACAAACAAAGAAACAAACAAGCAUUAGAAGCACUAAAGAGAAUAAUAGACUUUUACUACAAAAAAUUCAAUAUCUCUUCUUGUCAAACUUAGGCCUGAGUAAUUUGGAAUGCAAUGAAGUAUUGGGCCAAUACUCUUUUAACAUUUAAAAUAGAUGCUUUUUUAAUUUUCUUCCCAAGUUUUACUCCCCUCUCUCAAGUCAGCAUUUGACUUUAAGCUACAUAUAUGUUGACAGUAUUAUAGAAACCUGUAAGUAUAGAUACAAUGAUCAAUCAGGUGGUGAGUAUAUCACUUAAAAAGCAAAAUGAAAACGAUGGUCUGUGAACAGGGGGAAGCAGAGGGAAGUCAAAUUAAAGACGUUUCUUUCUUAUUCAUGGCAUAAAACACCUCUGCAGUGACAGAAACUUCAAAAGAUGUGGAUAUCUACUUAUGCUUUUUGCAAGAACGAAGUUUCUCAAGUCAUCAUCAAAGGCAUGCGAUGGACUACUUGAAGUGUUCCUGAAUAGAUGCUCAAUUCUUAAAAUUACUGUGACUUUCUUGUAUCCAUUAACUCCAUUGUAAAAAUUCCAUUGAUUUAAAACAGCUGCUAUUACAGAUCUG